UUAACCUAUGCAGAGGUUCCAGCUGUACAGGAGCUGAAGGACGGCUGGAAGGAGAACCCCAGGCUGAGAGUCAGUCCUCUUGUCUGGUUGCCCACCAGAUGUCUUUCAUUGGAUGAAAAGUUCCAUGAUCCAGGAAGUAGAAAACCAUCAUGGCUUGGUUUGCUUUUCUUAGUUUCAGUUUUUCCAUGCUUGAUGAGAAGAGCAGAGGCCAACUACGUCUGCAGCUCCAAUCCCUAUCAUGGAAGCAAACGACGUCUUUGUACAACCUAAAUACUUAAUGAAUUAAAUGGAAAGCAAGACAGUGAUUCCUGACAGGGCUAAAUGUAAGUCAAGCUGUGAAACUCCACAGCGCAGCCAGAAGUAGAGACGGACAAGUUGAACUGAAACCUGACCACUGCUUCUCAGCAAUUUUACUGAAUUAGCAAGAAGACCUUGGACCCCGGAUGAAACAGGAGAAAUGGAAAGUCCCCUGUGUGUCUCUAUUUUCUUGGUUUUGUGCGUCUUUAUCCAAUCAAGUGCCCAUGGACAAAGCCUGGGACUAGGUAAGAGCCUGCCUUUUCUGUGGAAAUGGGCAUGGAUUUUUCUUUCUUAAAUGUCUGUCACAAAGAACAUUUGUGAGACAAAUUCACUGAGUGUUCUUGACGGUGUGGGACAGAACUUGAUUCUAUUAGUGGCAUCACGGGUCACAGGGACAUGUUGCCGUUCGUGCAGGACUGAAAUUUUAGGAGAUCUCUCUGGGAAUAGAACUCUAAAAGCACUUGCGGCUUGCACUGAAUUCUCUCCCUCAUGUCUGAUUCAGAACCCGUCAUGCCAAGACUUGGGUCUUGGGAGAAUGAUCUGAAAGAGUUUGGGAUGUUCCCGAGAGUUAAUUUGGCAUCUAAUUUGUGGUUGGGGAGUGCAGCUUGCAAUGAAAUGCUCCGUUUUGCUGAGGUUGCCUGAUUGCUGGCUGUCUGAGAAGAGAGGAAUUUGUAGAGUCCUGUUUCCGGUCAGGUCUAAAGAAGAGAUAGCGUUGCAUAUUUUCUAGACUUCAUGUUUUUCUGCCACAGUUUUACUCUGAGACAGAGAAAUCCAACAGCAGUCACACUUGUUUCAUUUAUAAAUUCAUAAACUUGAUUGAUGGCCAAAGGUAGAUCCAAUUGCUUGACCAGGUAGGUGGAUUCCAGGUUCCUGGCUAAACAGUAUAUUGGAUCAAUAAAUGAUGGAUAUGAAGGACACUGAACAGUUUGGCCAAAUUAGGUAUUUGGGAUUUUUGUGUGUGUGCUGAUUACUGGUCAGGAGCUACUCACUCUGAGGAAGAGACUUAGAUUUUUCUUUCCUCAAAGACUAUCUUUGGAAGGAGCUCCAAAAACCUUGAGAAUCAGGAAUUUAGUAACCAGGAAUAUACCUGAAAUUUCCAGAAUCUUUUGUUUCCCCUAUAAGAAAAAAGGCCGUUAAUUAUUUUAUUAUUAUUUUGUAUCCUACAUCAAUACUAAUUGGUAGUAUUAUUACCAUUUCCUGAGCAUUUUCUGUGCCAAGCACUAUGCUGAUUAUUUUGUAUUCAUCAUCUCAUGUGUAAAGCCAUGUCCAAACAUGACAAUAAUGAUUUAGAGCCAGCCAGGCAAAAUUGCUGAUGAUUUUCAUUCCCUGGGUUGACAGGGAUUUUGCUAAAGGGCCUGUCCUGACCUUUGGCCCAGAAUGUUGUUUUUGUUUGUUUAUUUUCCGUAGAUCUAGAAAAGUGACUGUAUCAUAACUGCUCAAUGAAUUUUCUUAGUCGGAACCUGCAUCCCAGAAGCCUCCCUUGUGUACCCCUUGAGCUUUAACAUAGAGUAUUUUGCCUCUGGGGGAACUUUUCAUUAAUGGAACCAUAGAGCAUGUGCACUUUUGCCUCUGGCUUUUUCACUCAACACUAUCCUGAUGAGAUUCAUCCGGGGCACGUGUAUGUGGCGGUGACUCGUUCAUUCUGGUGGCAGCAGCAUUCCUUUGGGUAAACAUACCUCCCUUUGUUCUUCCAUUGCGUUGUUAUUGGCCCAGACUAUAUUCUAGUGGAGACUUGGAGGUUGGAAGGCAUGACUGCCAAGGAGGAGGCUGAAGGGCAGGACGGCCUCCCCCAGGCUGCUGGGCAUCCAGAUUCCCUUCACCAGCUCUUGCGUCGCUCAGCUGCUGCUUUCCCGGGGCCUGGUUUGUCCAAAAGCUGAGGGAAACAGCCAUGAUUAGCAGCAGGGUUCUUCCGGGAAAGGGAGCAGAGUCAGGAGGCCUCCUGUUCCUUUGGGAGUAGAAUCUCUGGGAAGAAUUCUUCCUGAAAGGAGUGAGACAGACAGAUCUUGUGUGGAUGAAGCUGGUGGGUCACCUCCAAGGCAUUGGCUGGAAGCAAGCACCCACAGUGGAGGCCUUGUCAGACAAGUACCUAGACUGGUGGCUCUCAACCAGAGACAAAAUUAUCCUCCACAAUGUCCAAAGACAUCUUUGGUUGUCAGAGUUGAAGAGAGAGGGCUAUUGGCAUGUAGUGGGCAAAGGCCAGGGAUGCUGCUAAAUAAACAUUCUACCAUGCACAUGACAGCUCCCACAACAAGUUAUCCAGGGCAAAGUGUCCAGAGUGGUUGAGAGUUGAGAAACCCUGGUCUAUACCAAGCUCCCACUGUCACUAGUCAUGGGCCAGGAAGUACUCCCCCGAGGACCCUUCCUCCUUAGCCCCACCCCUCCCAGCCUGCCUCUUUUUGUUUUUAUUAAUGACAUUACUAAUGGACCCACCAAGGUACUGUGUAUCCAGUAUGUGCCAGAUGCUACCGCAUCCUCACCAUGUGGUAGAGUGAGCCAGCACAUAGGCGGCUUGCAGGGGUCCCAUGGCUGUUCAGAGCAGAGCAGGGAGAAGCACCUAGAGCUCAAUCUGACUGAGCCUACAGGCCUUUCUUUCUGUUGUCCUCAUUCUCAAUGAUUUGACAGCCAGAGGCCCCCCCUCAAAACCAAAACUGCUCAGUUCCCACCCAGAAAGACAGAUUGGGACAGCUGUUCCAAUCUGUCAGCACCAAGGGGAACCAGGUAUGGGUAGCCUCCUGACGCCCCCGGGACACGGACCUACCAUCACUGUCAUCCCCAGUCCUCACUGCCUGACCCCCAGACCCACCACACUGAUGUUGCCAUGAGAGCUAAUAGUGCUCUCAAACGGAGGAUCCUGCCUCUUGACCCCAGCAGCCCCCACCUUCCAGGUGUCCACCACCACUGCCUCCAGGGGCCUGCUCCUCCCUCCAGUCUCAGCCACAACUUCCAAAUACCAGAAGCAGCUGAAGCCCAUCUGUUCAGUGGCUCAUUCGCUUAACCCUGUGGCACAAGCAUCUGCCAUAUACAAGGCAGUGCAUGAAUGCCGCAGUUCUCAAACUUCCUGGUCUCAGGGCAUCAUGACAUCCUGAAAAAUGCCUUAGGGGUCCAGAGAGCUUUUUUUUUAUAUGGAAUACAGCUAUCAGUAUUUGCCAUAUUGGAGACCAAAACAGAGACAUUUCUUAAAAUGUUAAUGCCGUUAAAAAUAACGGCGAGCCAAUCCCGUAUCAAUACAUAUCAUAUUAUGAGAAAUACCUUGUAGUUUGCAAACAAUGACGAGAAAAAGGGAGUGACAUUGAUUUACAAGAAAUGUUGCAUAUUUCUUUAAUGUCUGGCUUCAGAGGAGAGGACUGGAUUCUAUUACCGGUUUUUGUAUUCAGUGCAUUGUGGUGUAUUGUUUUGUUUGGAGUACGUGAAGACAAUUAGCCUCACCUAUCAGCCAUCCCCCUGGCCUCAGCCCACACACAGAACCACUGCGUUCCUGCCGUGGACACUGCGUCCCACCGUGCCCCGCCAGCCACUGUCCCGAACUCCCACCUCAAGCUGUCAAAUCAGGGGUAGGCUGGGGGUGGGAGGUGGGAGCCACGUGCCCUGGAAGUCCACACUCAGAAGGUCAUCCUUCAUAGGGACGGUCAUUACAAUAGCAGAACCUGCUGAAAGUUGGUCCGUCUUUCAUUACCAGAAUUCUAAAUAAUGUCAGUGGUAAAAAAUAAACCUCCUACCCCCCAAAAUAGUUUUUUGGUCAAAGUUGCAAAUAACUUCUAUGGUUACUGUUGAGUUUUAUAUAUAUGUUACCUUCAAAGGAUCACACUUUUGUAUUACUUAUCCUUUAGUUAAUAUUAAGUUCUCCAUCGACGUUCAUUUUGAGCGCUCCCAGUUACACGGUUGGCGCCUGACCUUCACGCAUUCAGUGACGCGCUCACUGCAGGAGGAAGUGUAUCACAGUUUCAAAUCCCCCCAACUUGCUUUGAUCAUCUCAUGCCUCCAGCCCCUCUGGGACUUACUGCAUAUUCCUACAUCUACACAGCAAAUUCAGAAUAAAAGAUGAUAGCAGAGUGAUUGUAAAAGCCAAGAAACAAAACCUCAAAACUUCAAUUCUCUUACCCUAGGUGACCAUUUAGUGUUUCUGUG